rnacentral:rRNA from 1 species
CCUACGGGGGGCUGCAGUCGAGAAUCAUUCACAAUGGGGGAAACCCUGAUGGUGCGACGCCGCGUGGGGGAAUGAAGGUCUUCGGAUUGUAAACCCCUGUCAUGUGGGAGCAAAUUAAAAAGAUAGUACCACAAGAGGAAGAGACGGCUAACUCUGUGCCAGCAGCCGCGGUAAUACAGAGGUCUCAAGCGUUGUUCGGAAUCACUGGGCGUAAGGCGUGCGUAGGCUGUUUCGUAAGUCGUGUGUGAAAGGCGCGGGCUCAACCCGCGGACGGCACCUGAUACUGCGAGACUAGAGUAAUGGAGGGGGAAGCGGAAUUCUCGGUGUAGCAGUGAAAUGCGUAGAUAUCGAGAGGAACACUCGUGGCGAAGGCGGGUUCCUGGACAUUAACUGACGCUGAGGCACGAAGGCCAGGGGAGCGAAAGGGAUUAGAUACCCGAGUAGUC